GUGACAACCAAACAGAGGAUUUUGCAAGCAGAGCACCUCUGCUGGCAGCAGCAGCCCAGGACAGCAGCCGUCCUGAAGGAAAGGCAUGGGUUUGACACUGAGGAGAGUGGAGGGAAAGCUCAAAGGGAGAGAAUGGUCCCCAAAGUCUUCUUAAACUACUCAGCUCAUCCCAGAAGGAAGGAUGCCCAAUAGCUCUGUUCCUCAGCGCAUUCCUCAAGGCCAGGCACAGAGAAGGCUCUCAAUGGAAUGAUGUCCCUAGAGGGCGUGGAUACACCUCUACCAAGGCAUCUACAAAUGAACUGUAUUUACAUUUCUGUGGCUUUUUCUUUAGGUAAGUAGAACCUCAGUGAUGAUGGCUUUGAAGGGUGCGGCUGUGCACACCAAAGAAUGUCGCAGUCUCAUUUAAGGCCUUUAAUGUUCCCUAAAGAAGUAGUUUGUUUGUGCAUUUCAGCUUCAACUGCCUGGUUGAGAAGUAAGUUUGUUUGCUGCUGACAGUCCUGCUGACUUUGUGUAGGCCGUGCAUGGCUCACACGCAGGAUUCUCUCAGUCAGACCUGCUCUUGCAUCUACAUGCAGCACACAAAGGAGACCACAGUUAACAAAGUCUUGGUGAAAACCAUUCAAGUGCCAUGUAACCACCAAAUAUGAACCCUGGAAUACUGCUUACUUUGUAGGCAAAAGCUCUCACAUAUACCUCAAUAGCAUCCUCUCUGGUAUAGAAUCAUGCUGUCUAGUGAUUUCAAUAUGGUACUCAGAAGCCACAUGUGGCUAUUGAGCAUGUGAAAUGUGGCCAGUCUGGUUUGAAAUGUGUUCAGUAUGAAAGCAUGCUAGAAUUCUGAAGACUUAGUAGGAAAACAAAUAAUGUAAAAUAUAUCAGUACUUUUUUGUAUGAGUUGCAUGUUGAAAUGAUAGUAUUUUGGACAGAUUGGGUUAAAU